GCAAACUUGGUCAUUUAGAGGAAGUAAAAGUCGUAACAAGGUUUCCGUAGGUGAACCUGCGGAAGGAUCAUUACAAAAAAAAAAAGGGUUUUCUUUUUUAAAAACCUCUUUUUUUGAUUCACCCUGUGUGCACUCAUUUGGGACCGUUCGUUCUCUUUUAUAGAGGCGUCGGUUUCAUAUUCUCUAUUUCCUACUCUACUUUCCUUUGUCUGAUCUCAAACAAAUUACAAAAAAAAAAAAAUACAACUUUCAACAACGGAUCUCUUGGCUCUCGCAUCGAUGAAGAACGCAGC
rnacentral:misc_RNA from 1 species